rnacentral:rRNA from 1 species
CCUACGGGGGGCAGCAGUGAGGAAUAUUGGUCAAUGGGCGCAAGCCUGAACCAGCCAAGUAGCGUGAAGGAUGACUGCCCUACGGUUUGUAAACUUCUUUUAUAAGGGAAUAAAGUUAUCCACGUGUGCCUUUUUGUAUGUACUUUAUGAAUAAGGCUCGGCUAACUCCGUGCCAGCAGCCGCGGUAAUACGGAGGAUCCGAGCGUUAUCCGGAUUUAUUGGGUUUAAGGGGGGCGUAGAUGGGUUGUUAAGUCAGUUGUGAAAGUUUGCGGCUCAACCGUAAAAUUGCAAUUGAUACUGGCAGACUUGAGUACAGUUGAGGUAGGCGGAAUGCGUGGUGUAGCGGUGAAAUGCUUAGAUAUCACGAAGAACUCCGAUUGCGAAGGCAGCUUACUAAGC